ACAAACAAGUGCUAGUACAAGUGUCUGAGGAUGAGUCUUUCUUACCGGCACAGAAUGGAGAGGUCUAAUGAUCAGAGAGGAUCGCAACAGCUUGGGC